rnacentral:lncRNA from 1 species
GGCCAAGGGGUCUGGUUUUAUAGUCCCCUCAGGUAAACGUGGGCUGUUGGAUCAAACCGACAUUGAUUGAACGGUUAUCCUUGAUCCUUUAGGUCUGUGGAGCGUGAUCCGCGUAGAGAGUCCUGAUUGGACUCCAGAGGGGGGCGGGCGCCCUAGGCCAGGCCCAGUUCGGUCUCCGCUUUGUUCCCGUGGCUUCUGGAGUCUUAUUGACGGUAGAAAAUUGCGCGGUGCGUUGAUAUCUCUAUGUAAUCCCGACAUGUGGGUCUUUCUUCCUUAUUUCCUGAUAACCCCCUGCAGAAACAGAUAAACAACAAAACUCGUGGAAUUCUGUCAGAUCAAACCCUAAUUCUAGGUAUUGUUUGCAUAUUGGUCAUUUCUCUUGUUUAUUUGAUAAUUAAAAUUGAUACUUAAGAACCAUCAACAAAUACCCCCAUACUUAGGCUUUUACUCAUCCUCGAGAAAAGGAUGGUUAAGAAAAAUAUCUGGGGUAAAACAUUGUAAAGCAUUCUCUUCAUACCUGCAGGGUGUUGUAAAAAUUCACUGUGUACCGUAGUCAGGGAACUAUAUUGUUAAGAGCAGAGAUCCUUUCUUCCUAUCAAUCCUAUCACUUGGAGUUUGUAUAUUUUUGAUAAGAAAUUUAGCAUACCUUUAUCCUCAUAGGGUCUCUCAGGUCACUCAUUAUCUUUUAUAUAUCUCACUGAGGUUGUCUUAAUUUGCAAAAAUUCUCAAGCAUACUUACUUUGCAUUUAUUGUCUGAUCAAAACAGGAUCCGAGGAGAGGAAUGCCAUACUCCUAGGUCAAAGACUUUGGAAAUUAAAAAGUCAUCAACUCUUGCUGGCAUAUUGCUUAUUAGAGGGACCAUGGGCUAUUAUUUUCUUUCUUUUUCUCUUUUUUUAAGUGGAUACCAAGGUACCCCUACUUCUACUGCCAGACACUUGUCCAUUUUUUUUUGCGAGGUUAUCGAGCACUUGCUCCCUUUUAUUUCCUCGAAAUAUCCUUAUUUUUGCAUAGCCCAUGCCUCUAAUGCAAUAAUACUUCAGAAGAGUGAAUCUUUCUGAAUAAAUGUCUUGAUCUUAGGAGUAUGAUAAAUCUCUCAACGUCUAACUCAUUUUGAACAAACUCAAUACAGAGUAGAUAGCUUUUAUAAUUAUCUUGUUAAUAUUUUCAGGUUUAUCAGGCAUAUAAAACACUGAGGAUGGUAGCUAGAAUUUUUGAAUAAAUUCUCUAAGCAACAAUGAUAUUAAGAAUAAGAAACUCAUACUCUACCAUCUCACAUUCCACAAUGACUUAAGUAACAGAGGGUUUUAAAAUAUUUUUUCAAUAAAUGCAGGGUUUCAGGAAAUACCACAGAGUGAGAUUAAUCAUGAUAAGAAACAUUUUAAUCUUUUUAAUUUAUCAUGUUGGAGACAAUAUUUUGCAUAAUCCAAGAUAUAUGUGUAUGUAUAAAGUGUGCAGAGUAUGUACCUGAAUUGUGGAGUGGUGUAGUCGAAGUGUGUUUGGCAUGUCGAGGGAUCUCUCCCAUACUUGUUUUUUGCUUUCUUGUAUAAAAAUAAAGUGGAGACACACAAGAGAUAAUAACAAUAAUAAUACUCUUUAUUAAUCUUGAGGCAUUUAUUACAAAUGACUAGUAGCAAACUGACGAUAAUAGUAAAUCUAAACCGAAUUUAAAGAUAAAUAACUAAGAUGCAUUGCCUCAAGAUCUAAUCUAGAUAACUUAGCGGCGCUAUAACUCCUUGAUCUUCUUAUUGGCACUAGCA